rnacentral:piRNA from 1 species
UUCUCGAAUUUUAUGCCUGGAUGGACAAGU